GACGAACGCUGGCGGCGUGCUUUACACAUGCAAGUCGAACGGUGAAGGUGGAGCUUGCUCCGCCGGAUCAGUGGCGAACGGGUGAGUGACACGUGGGCAACCUGCCCCUAACUUUGGGAUAACUACUCGAAAGAGUAGCUAAUACCGGAUAUGAAGUCUGUAGGCAUCUAUGGAUUUGGAAAGUUUUUCGGUUAGGGAUGGGCCCGCGGCCUAUCAGCUUGUUGGUGAGGGAGUGGCUCACCAAGGCGACGACGGGUAGCCGGCCUGAGAGGGCGACCGGCCACACUGGGACUGAGACACGGCCCAGACUCCUACGGGAGGCAGCAGUGGGGAAUAUUGCGCAAUGGGCGAAAGCCUGACGCAGCAACGCCGCGUGCGGGAUGAAGGCCUUCGGGUUGUAAACCGCUUUCAGCAGGGAAGAAGCGAAAGCGACGGUACCUGCGGAAGAAGCACCGGCUAACUACGUGCCAGCCGCCGCCGUAA
rnacentral:rRNA from 1 species